GACGAACGCUGGCGGCGUGCUUAACACAUGCAAGUCGAACGAAGUGGCGGACGGGUGAAUAAUACGUGGGUAACCUGCCCUCCUUUUUGGGAUAAGCCUUGGAAACGGUGUCUAAUACCGAAUAGAGGGGGCUGGGGUCGCGGCCUAUCGGCUUGUUGGUGGGGUGAUGGCCUACCAAGGCGGUGACGGGUAGCCGGGCUGAGAGGGCGACCGGGCACAUUGGGACGGUGAUACGGCCCAGAGGCGUACGGGGGGCAGAAUGUGGGGAUAUUGCACAAUGGGUGAAAGCCUGAUGCAGCGUGGCCGCGUGGGGGAUGAAGGCGUUCGGGUUGUAAACCUCUUUCGCUAUCGAAUGGGUAGGUGGAGAAGAAGCGCCGGCUAACUACGUGCCAGCAGCCGCGGUAAUUC
rnacentral:rRNA from 1 species